UGGGCACACACAGAAAUGCCGGGGGGGCAC
rnacentral:piRNA from 1 species